GACUACAUUACGGAGGGAAGGAAAAAAAUUGAGGCAAGUUGGUAUUACACAACCUAAGGUGAAUUUACUUAAAAACAGCUUUUUAGGGAACUGAAGGCUUAACUGCCUUUCACCCAAACUUUCAGUAAGAAAUGCAAAAAGAAAGUUAAAAUGAGGCAGUUUAGAGGUGGUAUUUCUCUUCUUUAACUUUCUUUCUUGGCCAGUCCCUAAGAUGUUUCAAUGAAACACCAAAUAAACAAUCAAUCUCUAGCUGCAAAACCAUACUCCAAGCUGCAAGUUUAUAAGGAGCCUUAAAAAGAUUUAAAUCCUGACAGAAACAAGUGAAGUCAGUUGUUGAAAGAUUUUUUUAUUCUACAAGCAUUGAUGGGUGCAAUCCUGCAGAACCAUCUGUUUAAUUUAGAGAAAUUUCUUUUUCUUUUCAAAAGUAAAUGAAAAACCCCUUUGAAUUAUUUAUAUAUUAAUUCAUUUAACUUUUAAAAACAAGUCAGUCUGCUUUGUCCUAUUUAACUACAAAUGUUACAUAUUUACAAACUGAAGCAAAAAUGGAUAGCAUAGAGAUUUAAAUGAAGAGAAUAAAAAUGUUUUUCAGUGCACUGUAUUUUAAAGUUGAUUAUCAUCAAGCCAGGAUGAAGUUGUGAACCACAAACCAUUUGUUUCUUUAAUAGAAAAAAGGAUGUUUAUAUUAUUAGCAAAGUAAUAUCUUAAAAUGUAUCUUCACACAGUUGAAGUUUUAGUAUAAACUUGUAUAUCAAGUCCCUUUCCAUUAUUUAUUCUACUUUAAAAAUACAUACAGCUAAUGAUGAUUAAAUAUGUAUUCUGAGCCAUAUGUCCAAACACAAAUAUUUGAGAAAUUCAAACUGUUGCAACAAGUUAUGAAAGGAUUAAAGGAAAAAGAUGAGCUACAAAUUAUAUAGUAAGAGGAAGGAAAAAAAGUUCUUGUUAUGUCUGGAUAGAUAUGUAUUUUCUAAUUUCUAUAUACCCAGUUGAGUACAGAUAGCUAUCAAACUUCAACCAGUUACAUAUAGACUAGACCAAGUCUGUACUAUUUUCUACAACAGGUCAGAAUGAUUAUUUCAAC